UACGAAGGGGGCUAGCGUUGCUCGGAAUUACUGGGCGUAAAGGGCGCGUAGGCGGAUAGUUUAGUCAGAGGUGAAAGCCCCGGGCUCAACCCGGGAGGGUCGUCGUGAACCGGGGGGCUUGAGGCCGGUAGAGGUGGGUGGAACUCCUGGUGGAGUGGUGAAAUGCGUAGAGAUCAGGAAGAACACCCGUGGCGAAGGCGGCCCACUGGGCCGGUACUGACGCUGAGGCACGAAGGCGUGGGGAGCGAACGGG
rnacentral:rRNA from 1 species